rnacentral:lncRNA from 1 species
UUUCGUUGUUUAUUUUAUUUUAUUUUUCUUACUUUUAUUUUAGAUUGUUUUCUUUACCCUUUAUGAAUUUAUUUUUUUCUUUCUUUUUUUUCUUUCCUUCUUUAGGUUUAGUUUGUUUUUUUACAUUUAUUUUAGAUGGCUAUAAAUAAAAAGAAAGUCGUUUUUCAAAAUGAUAAUGCGACGAGGCAUUCCCUGAGACAAAAGCGUGUC